CCAGGUAUCAUUCUAAUUACUCUACACACCUAUUUAAUCAUCACUUUACACUGCCUUAGGCCUGUGUACCAGGCAUAUCUCUGUGUACUUUAAAAUAUGAAAUAAUUCAAUUCUCUAAGCAAUCUUAUGAAGGGUACUGUUACUAUCCCGAUUUUACAGAUGAGAAAAUUGAGACACAGAGAAGCUAAAUAAUUUGCCUAGGG
rnacentral:lncRNA from 10 species